UACGUAGGUGGCAAGCGUUAUCCGGAAUUAUUGGGCGUAAAGGGUGCGUAGGCGGUUUGGUAAGUCUGAUGUGAAAUCUAUGGGCUCAACUCAUAGUCUGCAUCGGAAACUGCCGGGCUUGAGUAUGGGAGAGGUGAGUGGAAUUCCUGGUGUAGCGGUGAAAUGCGUAGAUAUCGAGAGGAACACCAGUGGCGAAGGCGAGUCUCUGGACGACACCUGACACUGAGGCACGAAAGCCAGGGGAGCAAACAGG
rnacentral:rRNA from 1 species